UCAUUCACCUCCCACUCAGCAUGCUUUACUGCUUUCUCAUCUUCACUUCCCCCACGGAUAACGACAUACUCCUGUCUGGCCUAUGUAUGGAUGAACAUGUGUAAGUGCUAACACACACACACACACACACACACACACACACACACACACACACACACACACACACACACACAUACUCAUACAAACAGAAUGAGAAAAAAGGGGAAACAGUGUGUUGCAGACAUCCAUUUAAGGAAGAAUAGGAAGGAUUAGUCCGCUGUGGGGUGUGUAGACAACAUUAAACUAGGACCCUCCUUUCUAACUCAACCAGACAAGUAGCUUCCUCUUGAAGGAUGGUUGAAAUUCUGACAUGCUGUCUUCUGUUUCAUGCUGUCUACAAACCCACGGCCCAAAGUGCAAAAGCAGAGAGCAGGAUCUCUGAGAGGACCAGGAUGAAAAAAGCAACAAACACUGAACACGUCCUCUACACUUAUCAACACUGAACACUUGGAGUAUCAUGAAACACUUACAGGUAUAUGUACUGGUAUAAAAAUAAAUAACAAAGAUCCAUGCUAGGCUCAUGACCAAACUGGACCAAGCAGAUAAGGAGUUUAUUUGAGUAAGAUGUUACCACAAACCAGGGUGAGAAAUUUCACACAGUUAUAUCAUAAAACUUACAUACUUACUAAUGAACUUGCACUUAAUUAUUGACUAGUUCAGCGGGUAUUCAAAUGCAAGUCAAGUUUAUUUCACAGAGCAGAGUCAACAAGUGCUUCACAAAAAGGCGAAAAUAAAAACAGCAAUAAAGAGAUGAAUAAAUGUAAUACUAUCAGUCAACAGUUACAGAUGGUCAAAAGCAGGUUUGGACUAAUGUGACUUUAAAAACAAAAGAGGAGAUAUCACAUCAUAUUUGGAUUAGAAAACAGUUCUAGAGAGUUGGAGCCACAAGUAUAAAAUCUCCUUUUAUAUACAGUCGAGCACAGGGAACAGCAAGUAGACCCGGGUCAGAAGAGCUGAGAGAUCUACUCGUGGUGUGAGGAUGGAGCAGCUCAGAAUUAAACAGCGGAGCUUGAUUAUGGAUGGCUUUAUAAGUUAACACAACUAUUGAAUUUCCUCUUGAGGAUAAAUUAUUUAAAUUUGUAUCCUAUCUUGAAACUAAUGAAUUUGGCUCGCAACAGAUGCAAAUAAAUAAAUUAAUAAAAAUAAAAAAACAAGGUUGAUAUAGAUUCUCCUGCUGGAUCUGAUUAACAGUCUUGCAAAAACAUUUUGAAUCAUUUAAAAAUGUUCAAGGGAGGAUUUAUUGAGACAUGAAAAGGGAAUUACAUUAACCAGGAGGGUUUUUCUGUAGAAAGUUUUCAUUUCUCGAACCCUCAGAGGAAGAAGAAACAAUUUAGAAAGUUGGUGAUUUUCUGUACGUCAGCUGGCUUCACAGAAAGAAAGAACUGAAUGUCGUCAGCGUAACAGUGGUAGAAGAUAUCAUGAAAUUAAUCAAUUACAUGGCAUAAUGGGAUAAGGUAAAAUAAAAGUAAAAGUGGCCCCAACACAGAACCCUGAGGCACACCACUGGAGGGAGUGGCCAAUUCUGAUCUGUAGGGUUCAAGUGACACGGACAAAUGUCUUUCUGAAAUAAAAGAAGAGAACCCCAGUGAUACCCGAUCGUAGCCUGAAUCUGUCGAUUAGAAUAUCGUGGUCUUCAGUAUCAAAUAGAGAGGAAAGGUCCUGGAGGACUAAAACCAUGACUGCCUGCAUCAGAGGACAUCAUAAUAUCAUUUGAGACCCCGAACAGAGCUGUUUCAUUUGAGUAACUGUGGUGAAAAACAUGACAGGAAAUUUGUCUCAAAAAUUGCGAGCUGUUAAAACAGAAGUGACGUGAACUGCAAUCCGGAGAUGGUGCUGUAAUUAUUCAGGACAGACAGGUCAAGGUCGGAUUUUUUGAGAAGAGGUUGAACGAUGGCAGAUUUGAAGACAGAUGGGAUACAACCGGACUGAAGGGAGUUAUUGAUGAUGGAGACUAGGCCGGAAAGAAACCUACUGUUGUCAUCAUAUUUUUUUAAUAGAGGAGUUGGCAAAAUAUCUACCAGGUUAAAACCAAGUGUUUCAGACAAAUGCCGAAGAAAUUAUUUGUGGCUUUUUUUCUAGAUCUGAAAAUCAUUUAAAUCCACAAAAGUGUUAUCAGAGAGGAAGUAUAGAGCCUGAAAGAAAUGUGUAAUACCCCCUCUUUAAUAAACCAACACAGAUGUACCACUCAACCUUUAAAUACUGUUCGACUCAGAUUUGGCCUGUUUUGACAUUAGGCAGCAGUAAACUAUCCAAAAUGUUAUUAUUUGAGCCUAAUACUGGAUCAAUUCCCUUUAAUUGACCUGAAAUAGUUUUAAACAGGUGCCACGUGUAAUUGUCAUAUUUGGUCUUUAUCUGGGUUUUAUAUCCUUCAGUUUGAGUCAGUUCUUUUUGCACUACUCUCAGACAUGACACAUACAUAGACCUGCACCCGCAGCUGUUUGCACUACUCUCAGAGGUGACUAGUGCAAACACAAAGGGGUUUCUGACAGCUAAGAGUUAAGCCCCUUACACUGACAGUGUUUUCGUCUGAGUUUCUUAAAAUCAUCAAAAUUAUGUAAUGGAGUUUAACAGUGUAGCUGCUGUUUUCACUCUCAGGCCAGUUUCUCGACAAAGGAGCCGAGCUGACUGGGAUCCACUGUAGGUAAUACAGUUACAAUCGAUGAGUCGCUCACACAGCCUUCCUUCAAAAACAAAGAGAACAAAAAUCUGAUCAAUUACUCAUGAGAUUAGUGUGAUCAAAAGACAAAUCAGAUGAGGGGUUAGGGUGCCAGAAGAUUAGAAAGGUACCAACGCAGUGACUUCUUUGCAGAGGUUAUGGUAGUAAGACCCGGGGUGCUGAGAGUUAUUGAUCUGAUCUGUGAGGAUCUGUGAUUUCUGGGAAACACAGAUCACACAAGUAUUGUUUUUGAUUUUAACAUUAAAGUAGCAAAGUCAUUGUUUUUUGGUGGUGGUGGUCAUCAUGCACAGAUAAAUCCCAUCUUGUUCCCAGAGUUUCACUUUCAUUAUAUUUAUAUAUAUUAUAUUUAUCAUUUUUAUGCCCUCUAAAAUUAAGUUGGGGUUGAUCACCCUUCAACGGUCUAUUUAGAUCUAUAGCUCAAAAUUAAUUCCUGAUUAUUAAAGAGACUACCAAACAGAAUUUGCUAAUCAAUCCAUACCAAUGUGAAACAGUCACCUUGUACUAGUAGUUUGAUUGAUCCCUCCAUCUUUCUAUUUAUCUACAUUUCCAUCAAUCCCUCUCUUAUCUCUGCCUUUUCUACACUUUUCUCUUCAUCCACCUUCACAAAGUUUGGGUCUUUUUAUUUUUUCUGCUGAUGGUGUUUGUUGAACAAACACAGUGGCACUGACUCACUGUUUUUCUGUGGCCUGCAGUCUAUUUUGUGUUUAACAAGGCAAGUUUGAGAUAUCCACUCCCUGCUGCGCUCUGAAAGCAGGGCCGGGGGAACGGUUCAGAGAAGCCGAGGAUGAUAAGAUGACACGCAGGCUGGCAGGAGAAGAUGACAAUGAAGAUAGCAUGUAUUGUGACAGUGAAUAAUUACACAAAGAUAUGACAGAGCCUUGACAAAACUGGUCUGGUCGUUUCUGUCUGAUGGCCGUGAGAUAUCGGGGGAUCAAUAAAGGCGUUAUAUGUAAUGGAGAUUAAUCUGUUUUAUUGUAAUUGUUUAUUUUUCCUCAAAGCACUUCAUGACAAAGCAGUUGUAAAACACUUAAGAGAUAAAUUUGGCCUGGCAUUUAGAAUGGCAUUUAUAGUUAUUAUGGUAUAAUAAUGGUAGUAUUGUGUUGUUUAUAGGGUUAGGAAUCAGCUGCACCACAAAGGCAGCGCUGAGCGUGAGUCAUGCCUGAUGCUUAAUUAGACUAUUAUUGGUGCUAAAAUGUCACACAGUUAAAUGAAAACUUCCAGUUCUAUGAGCUUGAAAGAUCGCUCUGCAGUUUAACUCCAGGAAGAGGUGACCAAACAUAUCAUCACCUACUUCCCUGUUAUGCGUUCCCACAUUCAGAUGUUGCUUAUUCACUGUGGUUAGCUUGCUGUGUGUUACUGUUUUUUUACAGUUUCAUAACAGAUUUAAGGUUGAUCACUUUGUUACAGUUUCAAGAGUCCCACACAAGUGGAAGGUAAAUAAGGAUGCAGAGAAGAAAACAUUUCUGUGACUAAAAGAGCUAAAAAUGACUCGAAAUGUGGCUUUUGUGAGGACUGCAACACUUGAACCAAGGGAACUCGACCUCAAGGAGACACCGUGUUUGCUGGGCAACAGAAGGCAAAAUGUACGCACACCUUUUGUUUGUUGACAAUAAAAGCACCUGAAGCACCUUGAAGAGUAGAUGUGUCAUCCUGUAAAUGUGUAAGACCACAAACAACUGUUUUCUAAAGUUUCACAUACUGUGUGUUCACUUCCAAUCAGAUUUUGUGUUGUUGCGACGUCUGAUUCACCGGUAUAUCCAACAUGGCUGACCGGCUGAUUUUUUAUUUAUUUAUUUAAUCCUCUGAACUUGUCUCUUAAUUCUAUUACUUUGGUUUUCCACACACCACCAUUCACACAACCUCGCAGUUUUCAGAUGCUGUCAUCAUAUUGCAACUCUUUUUGUCAGGAUUAAGACUCAGUGACAGCUGAUGGACCAUCCUCUCGCUCAUAUUUCAGUCACUUACAUCCACAUUUAGUCUUUCCCACCUGGAGUUCUCUCUUGAGCUGACUUCAAAUGUCAUACAGGGUAAACUCGCCUUUGGAAAGGAAGAGAACUUGCUUGACAACGACAGCAGAGACAGCUUUCUGAAACUGAGGGAAGUUAAAUGUCAUGAUUAAUAUAUAAUAAGACCAAACUGCAUUUAUCAUCCUGCCAAUCAUCUCUCCUUCUACCUGGAUCUAACAGCUUCUGCCAAAACAGUGAUUCCUUUGUUUUCCUCACUGUAAGAAGCUUGUUUUAUUACCCUCUGAAAAUGUUCACUCAUUUCCCCUUUUGGUGUUGUAAACUAAAUAGAUGAUGGGAUAAAGGAACAAUCUUCUCUUCAUGCUGCUUGGCCUCAGGUUCUCUUUGCGCUGACUGAAAGUUAUGCCUAUGAACUUGCUUGAUGGAGUUCAGAGGACUGGUGUUUGAAGAUAUCAUAGUAACGCUAUUAAGAUUAUUCUGAGGAUGAUUUUCUUUGUUGUUGUUGCUUUAGUUGAUCACUAAAAAGAGCUGGGUGUCCAUCAUUAACAGCUUGAGGGUGCUACCAUUUACACGGUUAUGUAGCCAUGAAAUCUUCAGAAAGUCACACCUUAAUUAAAUGUCUGAAGCUAGCUGUUGACGCCUGUGGUAGCUCCCCAUGACAUGCUGCCUUUUGUUAUACUGCCUGCUAUCAUAACUUGCAACCUCCGGCUCGGACCUUCAUGGAGAGUCUGUGGAUGGAACAGUCUCAAAGAUCAGUAACAGAUGAGACAUGGAUCCAGUUCUUACAGGCCACAGAAGAGUCAUCAGUAAAGCGGUGUUUUUAAACUUGCCUCUGUUGUCUGUCUCUGUUUCUUGGUAGCAAUAGUCGCUAGUUUAAGAUCAGCAAAGAAGGUCUCCUUAAGAUAUGGCCACUUACUCAGCUGAGUAUACUCUCUGCACAGAAAUCCAGCAUAAAGAAACAACUAAACUUGGUGCUGAUUAUCUUUUUUUUUUUUACUAUAUAAGUCAUGAAGAUGCACCAGUGUAAGAGUGGCACUAUUUCAAGAUCACUUAAAAACUGCUCAAGUUCUUAAUUCAAAUAUUAGUGCUCCUUUUUUUUUUUCUUUACUCUAACAUAAUCUGAUUGUCAUGCAUCUUCUUUAACUCAAGUUCAGCUCGCCAGUUUUUUUAUCAUCUUGAUUCCCUUCCUGCAGUUCUGGUCAGUGGACUUAGUGAGAGGUGAAACAAACGCGCUUCACAGCAUCCUGUAACUCAUCCCAGUUUGCUGUAUGCCAGGUAACAGCUAAAGAGAUACUUGAUGUUAUACACUGAAAUUUGAAUUACAAAUAUGCUCGCUUGCACUCACGCCUCAAUUUAUAAUGUCAUAUUCAGCCAAACUGCCGCCCCCGCUGUUGCACUUAGACUAUCUGAGGACUUUUUAAGGCCCAAAUGGAGAGGGAUGGGAGAGUUGAUCAUGUUUAUUAAGUCUGCUUGGCUACAUAUACAGAAUCGUGCUCGGCAGCAGCCUACAGGAAUGGUGUGGUGUGAAGCUGAGUAGAUGUGAAAUGUGGGCACAAGCUGUGGGCGAGAUCCACUUCCUCUGUCUCCAUAGAGAUGACAGGGAGACAGGAAGGCCUCCUGCACGCUAGGCCGUCACUAAUUCAAGAUGGCAGCCACAGUCAGAGGAGCUGGCAUCUAAUGAUAAUGUGUCUGAGGAGGUCAUUGCUGGUGACAACAGAGCAAAACAUCUGUUUGUAGCACUAUCUAAAAUACCUUGUAUCAUUUUCUGCUUGAAAGAACUUUGCCUGCCGCCAUCUGCCCGUAAUAUAACAUUUAUCAGUGACACAGAUCCACAAAAGUGGACCAUCUGCUUAUGAAAGAAGGUCAUUUGCCUUAUUUUUUUCUCUAUGACAAUGCUGUCUGCCUGCAUUCAUCUUUUGUGAAUGUCUUCACAGGUAAAAAGAACAAAUCUGGUCCUGAAAACAACCCCGUGUUUGACGGUUGGGCAAACAUCCAUCUGCUGAGGGUGACUGUGUUGUAUGUUUUAAGGCCUCAGAACAAAUGUACCUCAUAGGGAGAUUAAUUUCCCAGAUCUGUCUUUACAUUUUAAUGAAGGCACAUUGUUGUGGUUGUGAGCAAAACAGUGGCAAAGAAAAGACCCUGUGGUGAAUUCAUGGGUAAUGAAACUCAGCGCAAGUUCAAUCAGGAAGACUGUUUUCACAGUCCUUCAUUCAGGACAUUAUUAAUUCAUAUCGCUCUCCCUCUCAUUCAGUCUCAUCCUCUCUGUCUCUUCCUGCUUUAGGAUCAGCUGAUCAGGGAAAUGACUUCUGUCACCCAAUCAUUCUGCUGAUUUAAUACUGGCUCUACACCAAAUGACUGAGUGACUUUAAAGUCACAGACAAAUUCACAAAGUCACAAUGUUAUUAUGACUUUUGCGUUGGAGUUGUGACUGAACUUUUGAUGUACCUCCUUUCACUCGAGUGGGCCCUUGUCUUGCAGGACCAGCGUUUGCAAAAUAAGAUCAGGACACAAGACACACUGACUUUUAAAUACAAACCCAGACGUGGAGGUGGAGCUGCUUCCCUGAAGGCACAAACAAACCUUUAGAAAGAUGUCUGGCUGUAGAAAUGAAAAGACAGGGAAGAGGCAGAUUCAAGGCCAUAAGUGAGACGUACAAGCUGAAGGUAUAAUGUUGUCGCUUUAUUGAAAUAGGAUCUCUAAAAACGUCGAAGCUAAAACAAGCUCUACAUGGAGAAGACAUUUACAUUCAGGUUACCCUCCACCUCUGUCGGUGCUCAAUAAUAAUUCAGACUGUAAGUCCAUCCAGUGUUGUUGAAGAGGCUGAAGGACAGGACCCAUGCCAGCCACCAGAGCCGGUCCACUCCAUCCCCAGAGUGUGGUGGACAGCCGGGGCCUCGGAAGAGGUUGAAGGAUGGAUGUGUCCUUGUUGUGUGGAUCAGGUGGGCAUUGGCGCUCACAUUGCCAGACACAACCUCCAGGAAAUUUCCAGAAAUAAACCAAAUCAGAAAUUUUCCCUGAGAAUUAUGGGAAUUAACUUGAAAUUGGGGGUAAUUUAAACAAGCUGUAUCAUAUCCAAACAGAAUAAAAUAACAAAAAAACUUAUAAAAAGACAAAUACUCACACUACAAUGAAUUUUUCUUUUAUUAUUUAUAUUCACAGUCUGGAACAGUCUCAUUUCAUUUUUCGCAAUUCAAAGGCCUAAAUGAGAAUACUUAAUGUAGAAGUUUAAAAACUGGGAAAAAGGCUGCACACAAAAAAACAAAAUGUUCUUCUUAUCCUGAUACAACUAGAACUGAGAAAAGGAAAGGCAGAUUUGUUGGUCUCAGUUUUUCUGGAGCUGCAGUUUUGCAGCUGUGUGAUGUUUGUUCUUGUGAUGCAUCUGAUGUGAAGAGGAACAAAUCUGAUACCAGUUUCUUUAUCAGUAAUGCAGCUUCGGUCACGAUCCAACAAAAUCAUGCUGUCGUGAUCAAAUAAACAAUGGGGAGGCUGUGUCAGGCAUGUUUGAUACUUUCUGAAGCUGAAAUUAUCUUCACCUUAUGCAGAUAUUUAUUCAGAGAGAUGAGAAAGAAAGUGGAAUUAUAAAUCCUGUCAAAAUCUCUCUUUUUAUUCUUCGCACAAGCGCUGUUGUAGUCUUUGGCCCUGAUCUACUAAGAUCCCAAAUAGUGGACCCUAAAUUGCGUGUGCAAACUAAAAAAAACUGCACGUGCUAUUGGUGAGCAUGUUGCAGGUGAUCGACUAUAAUUGCCUGCGCAAUUGAUAACAGGAAUAAAAGUUUGCAUGGUCUGAUGAUCUACACACAGUUAGCAUAUUCAUGAAGGCAAACUAAAUGGAUUGUUGUUUUGCUCAUUUGACAGAAGCAAUUCUUGGUGCACCUGGUUAGUAGAUCAGUUUUUGCACAUGCACCUUUAGCAGAACGGGCCCUUGUGUUGGUAAGUAAACCCAUUAAAAGCUUUGAUGAAAGGCUGAAAUUGUAUGUUCCUUAAACACAAGGGUUCAAUACGCAGUCUUCCAAUCACCCUUAGUGGCGAGAGAACGACCACUGUGGAGACGUAUAACUUUCUUAAUCAGUACUUUACUCUUCACACCCCAUCAGCUUCACAACAACAAGACUUCUUUGUCCCUAAUCACAAGUGAAGUCGCAAAAUAACCAGAGGAUAAAACAGCUCAAUUCAGUGGGAAAAACCUCAAGGACUGUUGAAUGACUUUGUCAGAAGAUGCCAAUGGAAACAUUAACAAAUAUUUGUAAAUUAACAAAUAUUUGACAGCAGUAAACAUAUUUUAAUUGAAUACAUUAAUCCAAAUAAAUUGACUUAAACCUCCCAUUUUAACCCCAAAUUGCCUCAGUGUGUAUUUUCCUGGAGAUAUUGGAUUUGGGAGUCUAAGGAUUGUUUUAAACAAAAUUCAGUUUUUUUUUUCUUUCUUUCUUUUUAAGGGAACAUGAGGGGGUUAAUUUAGUUCCCUCAAACAAUGUUUGGGCUUUUUUUGCAGACACAGUGGUAUUUAGAUUAAAAAAGGCAGAGGAUGGGUGCCAAAAUAACACACUUUUGUUAAAAUCCUCUUGCAUUUAAAAACAAUCGUGUAUGCUGACCCCGAACGAAGCAUAAAAACACAAGCGAGCCUAGAAGAUACCCAUGGUGUAAAAUAAACAAUCUAUAGUACUCCAACUCCAGCUGCACAUAACACAGGCUAUAAAAGCGUAUGAUUCCUCAUUUUAGUAAUAGUGAAUAUAGUCAUUUAUAAAUGACCUAUUUUUGUAAUGAGAACUGGGUUGGCUAAUUUUAUCAAUACUUUUUUUCUUUUUCUUUUCACAAAUCUGCAUCUCUAAUUCACUACAAACUGGAUGGAAAAAAAGUGAAAAGACUAUUAUAUGGUUUUGCCAUUUACAUUGUUUCAGAGUCAAUGUACAACAUUCAGAGGCGGACACCCCACAGUGAAUCUGGCUCUUGGUGGACCUGUGCUCACUGAUAGGCUUCCUACUCUUAAAAAUGGGCUUUUCCACCCUCAGUGGUGCCCUGCCAACUGUUCUCCCACUGCUCCACUCAUCUGUGUCUCCUGGCAUCAGAAGGCUGCGGUUUCCCAAAAAAGACAAGAUCAGUUAGUGUUUGAGUUGCUUUGAUCUCAAUGUGAUUCCAACUGGGAAUAAAGCCUGGCCCUUGCACUGCCAUCACUGUGUCAGAGAAGUGUAUAUUUAUGUGCUUGACCUUAAUAGCUGUAAUUGGCUAACCUCCAUUUAGCCCUCUUCCAGCAUCCUGUCAAUAAGUCAAGAGUGAAAAGAUAACGGUUUGACUGUUCUGGUCCAAAGAGGCUUCGCCACCAGGGAGAAGAGGAGGGAAAAACGCCCGGUGAGUGACACAUCUUUUACAAAUCCUUUUAGUCAAAAAGCGCUUUAACAUUAGUCAUCAGAGCGCGUGACAGGCUCAGUCAAUACAGAGGUGACGUUAUUCACCUCCAACUGGUGGUGUCCCAUUUUGUGAUGCCACUCUCGCUCAGGGGAAAAUACAGAGGAGGGAAGCAACAAUGAGUGGGAGAAAGGGCUGAGACUGAGGAAGUGGAAAAGAUACUGGAGGGACGAGGUGAAGAGUGGAGUAGAAAGAAGGAUGGAGAAAAAGAGCCGCGGCUGGUGAAGCAAAAUUGACAUUUUUAAGAGUUAAUCCAUUUAAAGGAAAAAAUACCAAUGGACACAGUGCUAUUGACGAUUCUCUGUUAUGUAAAAAUAAAAUGAACACUCUGGUUUAUUUAACUACUCAGUCUGUACUUUUGCCAGCGUCUCUCUGAAAUACAGCAGAUUUAACAGAUAGUCAGAGCUGUCGUUUCUUUUCUUUUCUUUACCUUUUCUUAUUCUUAUUUUUUAUUGAAAUGCUUGACGCUGAACCGACAGUAAUUGUUUUUUACCAACUGGAAGCUCUUAAAUUCUGGAAUAAAACAUGGGCACCAUCUUUGAUGUAUGAGUGAUAAGUUCACCCACCAGCAAACAAAGCAGGACUCCUCUGACACACAUUCAGGCUCUGUUAGCAUUUGUUUGUUUGUUAAUAAAUAAAUGAACCUUUAUUGUCAGUGGGGGUCUGACUGCAAGUUUCUCCAGAUUAUUCAAGAUGUUUGAUGUCCUCUGUCAUACAGUUUGAAAAAGUUUCUUAUACAUAUAUAUACAUAAACAUACUUUCAAAGGUAUGCUGUGGGUUCUUGAAAGAAUUGCAUUCUUUAUCUGUGUAGCCCAUCCGGUAAUUCAGGUGUAACUUCAGAUGCUUUCGCCGUUAUAACAUAAUGGCGCCGUUAGCAUAUGAUUCAGGGGGACUCAACUGAUAAAAUGAUAUGCCUUUCAACUCUGAAAAAUGGGUUGGGCACAAACAGGUUAAAAAGUAUGCUAAAAUUGCUGCAUCUUUGCAGCUUCACAUAUUUUGGAUAUUUACAAUGGAAUCCUUGAUGAUAUAAAAUAAAUAUUCAUAUUCAUCUCCAUGUGAAUUAAAUUAUCCCUGAAUAUUCAGACAUGCGAAUGACAUAAUCAAUUAAUGGACAAAUAAAUCAGUGACUUUAAAAACUGAUAGAGACUGAAGCCUUAAACCAACGUGAUGCCAGACAAUAUCACCUACCCAGGAAGGUUCCGGAUGUCAGGCACAGGAACAGGGCAUAUCAUUGGAUAAAUUCCAGAAAACACCAACCCAGGACUGUAAACCUGUUUCGCUGAUGGGGGGGCUAACAGUACACUCUCAAACCACACACUGAGGUUUAGAUUCACUCAAUGUGUUGGACCUGGCAUGCAAACAGGAAGAGGGUGCAGGGGUGGUAUUAGACAGGCCCGAGAUGUGACUGGAUACUGGUUCAUUCAUUACAGUUUAACUCCUCCCCUUAUCCGUUUGGUGUUGUGCUGUUGACACAAACCAACGCGCUGAUCCUCCAUUUCUUGUCUCCAUCUAACACUGGGGUCAGACGACAUAUAUCUUUUUCCCCCGUUAUGAUGGUCACCAUGUCGGAUCAGGCGAUGGCAGAACCAUAAAUUCAUGCCUUGACUUGACUGAGAGACAUGACAGACUCUAAGAUGGUACACGACCACUCAUGACUGAUGUGAUGCCUUUGGAAGGCAGAGAGGGCUAGAGGACACCCAGAAAUGCAAACAGCAGUUACUUAUCAGGUUGCUGAAGUGCGUCUGCUUUGUCUCGCCAUCAUUUCUCUUUGCUGAGUCUGUCACGGUAGUCUCUUGACAUCACCUCAGAAAAAGCGCAGACUUUCCCUCUGUCCCGCAGUUCCAUCUUGCAGCACCAGCUUCAUCAUUCUUGUUUUCCUAGUUUGUAUGCUUUGUCUGCUUGUGGUUGUAGUGCAUGCUGAGUGCUGCUCUGUGCUGUCACUGGUCAACAACACCAACAAGUGGGAACACGGUGUAAAAGGCAGCAAGGCUGAGAGGAAAUCUAAGAUGUUAGACUUUAUGUCAGGAGCUGUCCCAGAAGUGGCCUGACCUGUGGCCUGGUCACUUACUAUGACACACUCUACAGAAUGAAACCAUCUAUUUCCGGAGAUACAGGUCCUGAAACCUUACGUCUGCCUGAUCAGGCUACAAUUGCUGUUAUAACAUACAGUCUGACCUCUGUGUUAGGUGCCAUAAGGUUCAUGUUGGGUUGUUCCUUCCCCCUCCUCCUCUGCUUCCUCCUUUUUUCUCUCUCUCUUCCUCUCUGACCCUCCAGGCAUUACUCUCCUUCCGCUCUACCUUUGGAUCAGCUGUUUGAACACACAUGAAGCUUCCUGCUCAUCAACCUGCACCAGGAAGGGCAGGAGAGGGAAGGCAGCGGAACAGUUGGGUCAACAGCGAUUGUAUAGAAAGGUUUAAGAUCUUGAAAUAUGUUUUCUCCUCCUGUGGGCGGAUGUGUUUUAGGAUUCUGUGCUGCAGUUUUCUCUGGUUUUGAUGCAAUUUCAUGCAUUGUGUUUGCUAUUGUUGCAGUGUCUGCAUCUUUGUGCCUCCUCGCUGAAUGACAGUUUUAUUCCCCAUGAAAAUCCAGAGAGUUUAUGCUCAGCUUUCCUCUGGGUUCCCCAAACACACAGGAUGACUGAUCAUAAAUAUUAAAC